rnacentral:SRP_RNA from 12 species
GAAGCGAGCAGCAGCAGGUGGGCUAAUCGUGUGUUUUGGUUGGCCA